rnacentral:sRNA from 1 species
AUCCUGUGACCAAUGCCGAAUUCAGCCUCACAUUAGCCACCACAUUGAAGCGUCCGCACCUUUUUAAAACGCCGCAAUGGCUCAUAAAAAUGUUAUUGGGUGAAGCCUCUGAA